rnacentral:rRNA from 1 species
UACAGGGGGUGCAAGCGUUGUUCGGAAUCAUUGGGCGUAAAGGGCGUGUAGGCGGUUUGUUAAGUCAUGUGUGAAAUCCCCCGGCUCAACCGGGGAAGGACGCAUGAAACUGAUAAGCUAGAGUACCAAAGAGGGGGGUGGAAUUCCCGGUGUAGCGAUGAAAUGCGUAGAUAUCGGGAGGAACACCGGUGGCGAAGGCGACCCCCUGGUUGGAUACUGACGCUGAGAAGCGAAAGCGUGGGGAGCAAACAGG